AACGAACGCUGGCGGCAUGCCUAACACAUGCAAGUCGAACGAAGCCUUCGGGCUUAGUGGCGCACGGGUGCGUAACGCGUGGGAAUCUGCCCCUUGCUUCGGAAUAACAGUUAGAAAUGACUGCUAAUACCGGAUGAAGUCUUCGGACCAAAGAUUUAUCGGCAAGGGAUGAGCCCGCGUAGGAUUAGGUAGUUGGUGGGGUAAAGGCCUACCAAGCCGACGAUCCUUAGCUGGUCUGAGAGGAUGAUCAGCCACACUGGGACUGAGACACGGCCCAGACUCCUACGGGAGGCAGCAGUGGGGAAUAUUGGACAAUGGGCGCAAGUCUGAUCCAGCAAUGCCGCGUGAGUGAUGAAGGCCUUAGGGUUGUAAAGCUCUUUUACCAGGGAUGAUAAUGACAGUACCUGGAGAAUAAGCUCCGGCUAACUCCGUG
rnacentral:rRNA from 1 species